rnacentral:rRNA from 1 species
AGUGAACGCUGGCGGUAGGCCUAACACAUGCAAGCCGAACGGCAGCACAGUAAGAGCUUGCUCUUACGGGUGGCGAGUGGCGGACGGGUGAGGAAUACAUCGGAAUCUACUUUUUCGUGGGGGAUAACGUAGGGAAACUUACGCUAAUACCGCAUACGACCUACGGGUGAAAGCAGGGGAUCUUCGGACCUUGCGCGAUUGAAUGAGCCGAUGUCGGAUUAGCUAGUUGGCGGGGUAAAGGCCCACCAAGGCGACGAUCCGUAGCUGGUCUGAGAGGAUGAUCAGCCACACUGGAACUGAGACACGGUCCAGACUCCUACGGGAGGCAGCAGUGGGGAAUAUUGGACAAUGGGCGCAAGCCUGAUCCAGCCGUACCGCGUGGGUGAAGAAGGCCUUCGGGUUGUAAAGCCCUUUUGUUGGGAAAGAAAAGCAGCAGGUUAAUACCCCGCUGUUCUGACGGUACCCAAAGAAUAAGCACCGGCUAACUUCGUG